GAUGAACGCUGGCGGCGUGCCUAAUACAUGCAAGUCGCGCGAACGGACGAGAAGCUUGCUUCUCUGAUGUUAGCGGCGGACGGGUGAGUAACACGUGGAUAACCUACCUAUAAGACUGGGAUAACUUCGGGAAACCGGAGCUAAUACCGGAUAAUAUUUUGAACCGCAUGGUUCAAAAGUGAAAGACGGUCUUGCUGUCACUUAUAGAUGGAUCCGCGCUGCAUUAGCUAGUUGGUAAGGUAACGGCUUACCAAGGCAACGAUGCAUAGCCGACCUGAGAGGGUGAUCGGCCACACUGGAACUGAGACACGGUCCAGACUCCUACGGGAGGCAGCAGUAGGGAAUCUUCCGCAAUGGGCGAAAGCCUGACGGAGCAACGCCGAGUGAGUGAUGAAGGUCUUCGGAUCGUAAAACUCUGUUAUUAGGGAAGAACAUAUGUGUAAGUAACUGUGCACAUCUUGACGGUACCUAAUCAGAAAGCCACGGCUAACUACGUG
rnacentral:rRNA from 1 species